UUCGAAAUUUUUGAGAAUGGCCAGUCACGGCGUUUGCGUUUGUUAGGCCGCGCGUGGGCGGCGCCAGCUUUAAGAAGCGGUUCCGGUUUGUUUUCGCCAUACCUGAGGGCGUCGCUGUCCGGUUUAUUUUUGCUGUUCGGAUCACCGCAAGGAGGAGAAAGCAACAUGAAGUUUCUGGGGCGGGUAAUGCUCUUCACGUCCAUGGUUGAGUUUAAUUGAUUUUUUAAUGAUAAGGGAGGUCAUGGAUUCGUAGUCGUGGUGCAUGUUAUGUAUUUUUCUGAACUAUUUUUCAAUAUGUUGAAUCAUGUGAGAGUAUUUCCAGUUUCCACACAAAUAUACAAACUCAUCUCCAUGCUAUAUUUUAGGAUAGGCUACAGAUGUCUAUGUUCUUUCAUCCAGCCCAUGACGCAAACUUCUUCCAUGUGCCAAAUUUGCUCUAAAUAAUGUUGUCAUUGAGAAAAUUAUUGUGUGUGGCUCUUCCAGCUGUA